rnacentral:rRNA from 1 species
UACGAAGGGUGCAAGCGUUACUCGGAAUUACUGGGCGUAAAGCGUGCGUAGGUGGUUUGUUAAGUCUGAUGUGAAAGCCCUGGGCUCAACCUGGGAAUUGCAUUGGAUACUGGCAGGCUAGAGUGCGGUAGAGGGUAGUGGAAUUUCCGGUGUAGCGGUGAAAUGCGUAGAUAUCGGAAGGAACAUCAGUGGCGAAAGCGACUUCCUGGACCAGUACCGACGUUCAGGCACGAAAGCGUGGGGAGCAAACAGG